CCUACGGGGCGCAGCAGUGGGGAAUAUUGCACAAUGGGGGAAACCCUGAUGCAGCAACGCCGCGUGGGUGAAGGAGCGUUUCGGCGCGUAAAGCCCUGUCAGCGGGGAAGAAGAAAGACGGUACCCGACCAAGAAGCCCCGGCUAACUACGUGCCAGCAGCCGCGGUAAUACGUAGGGAGCGAGCGUUGUCCGGAAUUACUGGGUGUAAAGGGAGCGUAGGCGGGGAUGCAAGUUGGGUGUUAAAUCUACCGGCUCAACUGGUAGUCGCACUCAAAACUGCAGCUCUUGAGUGAAG
rnacentral:rRNA from 1 species